UCUCACUCUUCAAUCUUCAUUCAAAUCCUUUGCUUCUUCUGUUUUCUUUUCCGAUAAAACAAACAGGUUUUAGUUAUUACUGGAGAUGGCAAAGAUAUCUUUCACAGAAUAUUUUGCAUUAUUCCUUAUUAUUUCAGUUGUUUCAAUGAGAAGUGAAGUGGAUGCACAGACUCUAUGCCAUCAAACGGUGCAACCAAAAGACUGUGUCUUCAAUGUGUGUGAAAAGCGUUGCAAAGAGAUUUACAGACUCAACUUUGUUUCUGCAACCUGCGUUGAAGUCGGUUCAGCUAAUCAAUGUGCUUGUAUCUUUCGCUGUCAAACUGUUUAAGACGACCAACCUUCAUAUUUUAUCCAAAUUUUAUUAAUAAAUUGAAGUCUUUUUCGUU